CAGAAUUCUAUCGGCGCAUGCUUAAUUGCAUCAAACCUGAUACCAUCGAUAUCAUAUUCUUGCACAACGUUUUUUAUCCAUUUCUCUAAAACGCUCAAAACUACUUCGUUUUCUGUAUCAACAUCAGCCAACAGUAAAUUCUCAUCACCAAGCCAGCACUAUAUCAUAUAGUUAGUUCACUGUCGUUCUAAAAAACAAUAUAACGAGACUUAACGACCUGUACAGGCUAAGUCUAG